rnacentral:rRNA from 1 species
UACGUAGGGUGCGAGCGUUAAUCGGAAUUACUGGGCGUAAAGCGUGCGCAGGCGGUUCGUUGUGUCGGCGGUGAAAGCCCCGGGCUCAACCUGGGAAUGGCCGUUGAAACUGGGCGAACUGGGAGUGUGGCAGGAGGGGGGUGGAAUUCCGCGUGUAGCAGUGAAAUGCGUAGAGAUGCGGAGGAACACCGAUGGCCGAAGGCAGCCCCCUGGGCUAACACUGACGCUCAGGCAACGGAAAGCGUGGGGAGCAAACACGG